GAUGAACGCCGGCGGCGUGCCUAAUACAUGCAAGUCGAGCGAACAGACGAGGAGCUUGCUCCUCUGACGUUAGCGGCGGACGGGUGAGUAACACGUGGAUAACCUACCUAUAAGACUGGGAUAACUUCGGGAAACCGGAGCUAAUACCGGAUAAUAUAUUGAACCGCAUGGUUCAAUAGUGAAAGACGGUUUUGCUGUCACUUAUAGAUGGAUCCGCGCCGCAUUAGCUAGUUGGUAAGGUAACGGCUUACCAAGGCAACGAUGCGUAGCCGACCUGAGAGGGUGAUCGGCCACACUGGAACUGAGACACGGUCCAGACGCCUACGGGAGGCAGCAGUAGGGAAUCUUCCGCAAUGGGCGAAAGCAUGACGGAGCAACGCCGCGUGAGUGAUGAAGGUCUUCGGAUCGUAAAACUCUGUUAUUAGGGAAGAACAAAUGUGUAAGUAACUAUGCACGUCUUGACGGUACCUAAUCAGAAAGCCACGGCUAACUACGUG
rnacentral:rRNA from 1 species